CCUUGUGGAAGUUACUUUACUUCGCUGUGUGUCGUCUGUAAAAUGGGAUUCUAAUAAUACCUAUUUCAAAGAAUUAUUCUUAAGAUUAUAUGUAAAAGACACUUGGAACAGUGCCUUGAAGAUGGUUAAUACUCCGAUGUUGAGUCUCAGAAGAAAAUUCACCCAGGGAUUUCAUCAGAUGUUAAAAAGAGCUGAGAAAAAUAAACAGGCAUUUUAAUAAUGACUCAGGGAAAAUUUCAAGAACUACUGCAUUUUCUGCAUCUGCAUCUAGACGAAUGCCUUUGUAUCCAAUCUACUAUUGGAAAAUUCAUUCAUGAUUGUGCUGGGACGAUUACAAAUAUCUCCGGAAAUUUAAAAACUCUGUUCUCACAGAGUUUGCCGUUAAGUAACAUAUUGUGUAUCAAACCUUAUUUUCCUGUGGAUUCCAGUAACAAAUGUUUCAUAAUUUUCAGUGUGAUUUUCAGGCUGAAGGAGCAAAGUCUCUUUGGAACAGCAAGAGCAGUGACAACGAGAAAGAAGUACAGAAUGUCAGGAUUUGAUGGAGCCUGAGUCCCGGUGAGGGGAUGGUAUGGAAAGACUGGCUGUUCAUUUUCCCAAGGCUUUCCUUCUGUCUGAUGCCUCCUGAGUCCUCAAGCAUUAUGGGACUAUGGUGGGAGGAAGAGCCCACUUCUGAAGAACAGAAUGAAGAGGAAAACUCCCAUCAUCCUUCCUUCAUUGUCUUCCCUCCCUCUCCUGUCAGCUGGACUUCUGGGCAAGGCUGCAUCCAAAGAUUGACCUCAUAGACUUGAACUCAUUGGCAUUGCUGGCUCUCUUUGGAGACAGGCUUUAGAACACCUGCUGUGCUUACUACAGGGUCAGGCAACAUUUACAUUGUUACAGCACAUCAAGAAAGAACUUUCUAAUGUUCAUUAUUGAAAUGCCAAAUAGUUGCUGUCUCCAACAAGAUGUGCAUGGUUUUACUUAUGUUAAAAUACAUUUGUCUGGCUUUAAAAGCGGCUCUCUGAGCCAGCCCUGAUGGUCUAGUGGUUCAAGUUCAGUGCUCUCACUGCUUUGGCGACCGAGGUUCAUUUCCCAGUGGCAGAACUACACCACCCGUCCGUCAGUUGCCACUCUAUGGUGGGGGCUCGCAUAGAAGAACUAAAAGAACUAGGACAACUAGAACAUACAGCUGUGCACCGGGGCGUUGGGGAGAAAAAAAAAAGCAGCUUUCCAUGUAGAUAAUUUUCCUUAUAUUAAAAAUAUUUCUGCUUCUAAGAGAGCAGUUUUGCUUGACUGUGAAGCUGGUCUCCCUUGAUCUGUAUUUGGUGCAGGGCCUGAAUCUUUAUGGGUCCCAUGUCUUUCAGUAAUGUUCUUUCUGAUGCUUUUAUAAGUAACUUUGCAUGUAUUUGUGCUGAUUUUUUUUUCUGCCUUGUCUAUGCAUUUCCCAAGGAAGCCUACAGGAUUGAAGCUACUAAGAAUGGGGACUUCUUACUAAUAUUUGUGUCUCCGGAGCCUAUCUAACACAGUGCUUGACACAAAAAUGUUUCAUUCCUGUUAAGUAAAAUAUACAGAGAGUCAUUUUCUUAUACCUUUCUUCCUUCUGACAUGUGCCACUACAGAAUUCAGGGUUCACACUUUGGACAGUUCUGUGGUGUCGAGGGUCCUGCAUCAUUAAUAGGUUCUGGGGAGUUGUGAGCAAGCUUACCAAGUUUCUUUCCUCUUGGCUUGACAUGGGUUCUCACAAAUGACCUGAU